CCUUCAUGGGAGAUGAUUGAAAGAUGGUUUCGGCUAUCACUUACAGAUGGGCCCGCGGUGCAUUAGAUAGUUGGUGAGGUAAUGGCUCACCAAGGCAACGAUGCAUAGCCGACCUGAGAGGGUGAUCGGCCACACUGGGAGUGAGACACGGCCCAGACUCCUACGGGAGGCAGCAGUAGGGAA
rnacentral:rRNA from 1 species